rnacentral:ncRNA from 1 species
UGUUAUAUGUUAUAUGAGUAUAUUAUAUAAUAUAUAGUUUUUGUUCAUGAUAUCAACAUGUGCCCCUGGUGCAGAUCUUCGUGGUAGUAGAAAAUAUUCAAAUGAGAACUUUGAAGAGUGAAGAGGGGAAAUGUUCCAUGUGAACAUCACUUGGACAUGGUCGGUUAGUCGAUCCUAAGAGAUGGGGAAUCAUUGUAUCAAGGGUGCACUCUGGUGAACAUCGAAAGAGAAUUGGGUUAAUCUUCCCGAACCGGGACAUGGUGGUGGACGACUAUGUUAGGAAAUUUGGAGAUGUCAUCGGGGGCCUGUGAAGAGUUAUCUUUUCUUUUUAACGCAUUUGACUCAUAACCACUACAAUUUUUAGAAUCCCAAACCCCUAAACCAUUGAAAAUUUAACCCUAAUAUUUAACCCUUAUAACCCCAAACACGUACAUUAACUAUUACAUCUAUCCAUUAUUAGUACUAGUC